AGAAGGAAGUGAUGUCAUGUACGGACAGGAAGUGAUGUAGGAUAAAAGACAGGAAGUUCCAGAGGAGAGGUGACUUGUUAGGAAAUAGCGUACAGACAUUACUGGAUCUUAAGAAUUAUAAAAUAGUGGAGAUCCAUUAACACCCAGCAGCCAUCUUCUCAGGACAUCACCCAUCACAGUGCCUCCACCUCACUGCCUGACAACAGAGGUAACCAGUGCCAAGAAGAUUCUAGAAGUCACCAAGAAGAUAAUUGAUCUGCUGACAGGAGAGGUUCCUAUAAGGUGUCAGGAGGUCACUGUCU